rnacentral:rRNA from 1 species
CAAAAACAUGUCUUUUUGAGUUAUUUUUAAAGUCUAACCUGCCCAAUGAUAAAUUUUUAAUGGCCGCAGUAAUUUGACUGUGCAAAGGUAGCAUAAUAAUUAGUCUUUUAAUUGAAGGCUUGUAUGAAUGGUUGGACGAAGUAUAAUCUGUUUCAUUUAAAUUUAUUAUAGAAUUUUAUAUUUUAGUAAAAAAGCUAAAAUUUUUUUAAAAGACGAGAAGACCCUAUAAAUCUUUAUAAUCUAUAUUUAUUUUUCUUUUUUUGAUUUAUUUUAUUUUAAUAAUUUAGAUUAUUUUAUUGGGGUGAUAUUAAAAUUUAAAUAACUUUUAAUUUUUUUUUAACAUUAAUUUAUGAUUUAUUGAUCCAUUAAUAAUGAUUAUAAGAAUAAGUUACUUUAGGGAUAACAGCGUAAUUUUUUUGGAAAGUUCUUAUUGAUAAAAAAGGUUGCGACCUCGAUGUUGGAUUAAGAUAUAAUUUUAGGUGUAGUUGCUUAAAUAAUAAGUCUGUUCGACUUUUAAAUUCUUACAUGAUCUGAGUUCAAACCGGA